rnacentral:rRNA from 1 species
GAUGAACGCUGGCUACAGGCUUAACACAUGCAAGUCGAGGGGCAGCAUGCCGGUUGCUUGCAACCGGUGAUGGCGACCGGCGCACGGGUGAGUAACGCGUAUCCAACCUUCCCGCGACCAAGGGAUAACCUGCCGAAAGGCAGACUAAUACCUGAUGGUAUGAUGAGAUUGCAUGAUAGCAUCAUUAAAGAUUUAUCGGUGUACGAUGGGGAUGCGUUCCAUUAGGUAGUAGGCGGGGUAACGGCCCACCUAGCCUACGAUGGAUAGGGGUUCUGAGAGGAAGGCCCCCCACAUUGGAACUGAGACACGGUCCAAACUCCUACGGGAGGCAGCAGUGAGGAAUAUUGGUCAAUGGACGAGAGUCUGAACCAGCCAAGUAGCGUGAAGGAUGAAGGUCUUACGGAUUGUAAACUUCUUUUAUAAGGGAAUAAACCCUCCACGUGUGGGAGCUUGUAUGUACCUUAUGAAUAAGCAUCGGCUAACUCCGUGCCAG